CCUACGGGGGACAGCAGUGGGGAAUAUUGGGCAAUGGGCGCAAGCCUGACCCAGCAACGCCGCGUGAAGGAAGAAGGCUUUCGGGUUGUAAACUUCUUUUUUCAGGGACGAAGCAAGUGACGGUACCUGAGGAAUAAGCCACGGCUAACUACGUGCCAGCAGCCGCGGUAAUCCGUCGGUGGCAAGCGUUAUACGGAUUUACUGGGUGUAAAGGGCGUGUAGGCGGGACUGUAAGUCAGAUGUGAAAACCACGGGCUCAACCUGUGGCCUGCAUUUGAAACUGUAGUUCUUGAGUACUGGAGAGGCAGACGGAAUGCCUAGUGUAGCGGUGAAAUGCGUAGAUAUUAGGAGGAACACCAGUGGCGAAGGCGGUCUGCUGAACAGCAACUGACGCUGAGGCGCGAAAGCGUGGGGAGCAAACAGGAUUAGAUACCCCUGUAGUC
rnacentral:rRNA from 1 species